UGGGGAAUAUUGCACAAUGGGCGCAAGCCUGAUGCAGCCAUGCCGCGUGUAUGAAGAAGGCCUUCGGGUUGUAAAGUACUUUCAGCGGGGAGGAAGGUGUUGUGGUUAAUAACCUCAGCAAUUGACGUUACCCGCAGAAGAAGCACCGGCUAACUCCGUGCCAGCAGCCGCGGUAAUACGGAGGGUGCAAGCGUUAAUCGGAAUUACUGGGCGUAAAGCGCACGCAGGCGGUCUGUCAAGUCGGAUGUGAAAUCCCCGGGCUCAACCUGGGAACUGCAUCCGAAACUGGCAGGCUUGAGUCUUGUAGAGGGGGGUAGAAUUCCAGGUGUAGCGGUGAAAUGCGUAGAGAUCUGGAGGAAUACCGGUGGCGAAGGCGGCCCCUGGACAAAGACUGACGCUCAGGUGCGAAAGCGUGGGGAGCAAACA
rnacentral:rRNA from 1 species